rnacentral:rRNA from 1 species
AGCAGCCGCGGUAAUUCCAGCUCCAAUAGCGUAUAUUAAAGUUGUUGCAGUUAAAAAGCUCGUAGUUGAAUUUCGGGAUCAAAUUGUCGGUCGUGCUUCGGUACGCACUGGCAUUAUUGGUUCCUACCUUCUGAAGAACCGCGAUGUCAUUAAUUUGGUGUCGUGGGGAAUCAGGACUGUUACUUUGAAAAAAUUAGAGUGUUUAAAGCAGGCGCACGCUUGAAUACAUUAGCAUGGAAUAAUGAAAUAGGACGUUUGAUUCUAUUUUGUUGGUUUCUAGGAUCGACGUAAUGAUUAAUAGGGAUAGUUGGGGGCAUUAGUAUUCAAUUGUCAGAGGUGAAAUUCUUGGAUUUAUUGAAGACUAACUACUGCGAAAGCAUUUGCCAAGGAUGUUUUCAUUAAUCAAGAACGAAAGUUAGGGGAUCGAAGACGAUCAGAUACCGUCGUAGUCUUAACCAUAAACUAUGCCGACUAGGGAUCGGAUGAUGUUAAUUUUUAAUGACUCAUUCGGCAACCG